UUGACCUUGAUUCCGCCCCGGAUCCCACCUCUGCACCCAGCACCUCCCAUGUCACCACCAGGGGUCGCCACGCCUCCCAGCCUUGCCCAGCAGGUCAGGGCACAGGGGGACCCAGAGGCACCCAGCCCUGCACACUUCCCCUUGGCUCUGGGCUUUGCCUUGCCCCUCCCAGCGGGCUGCCACCCCAGCUCCACUCCUGAUGUGGCAGAAGCUACGUGGAGCUGCCAGGGAGGGAGGGAUGGUCCUUGGAGCCCAUCUGCCCAGACCGCAUUGGCCCGUGUCUCUGUAAGACCCCAUGGUCCAGCCUGACCCCAGGGCCAGAGCAAAGGACAGGGCUGUGGGGACGCCAGGCAGGCUCCAGCCCUGACUAUGGGACCUGAUGUGAAACCCUGGUUCCCUGAGCCUUAGUCCUUCCUGGUUCUUCCUGCCCAGCCAACCCUGCCUGGCUGUCACAUGAGGCCACUCCUGGGAGGCUGAGCCUGGGGCCUUCUAGAGGUUGCUCCCACCAUCCCUAGUGGAGGCUUUUGGGGUGGUCCAGGCCUUGGCCCCUCAGCUCCCACUCUUCUCCCGGGUCCCAGCUCCAGCACUUGGAGGGGGAGGGGUGCUGGAGCAGUGCUGCAGCCAGAAUCCCAGCCCCCAAUGCACAAAGCUUUACAUGGGACCAGGGAGUGGCCAUUGCGCCCACACAUCGUGUUUCUUGUGAGCAAAAAAGGAGCUGCUCCCAUCACGCUCCUUCCUGCCCUGCUUCCCAGGAGUGCUGCAGGGAGGUUGGGCAGGUCCAUGGGGAAACAGGCUCGGACUGGGAAUCGAGGGACCCUCACCUUGCUAGGUUCUGCAGGCCUCUGGGAUUAGCAAAGGUCCCCCAGCCCCCCUCUGUGGCCCCUCCUGAGUAGGAGAGAUCUGGGCACUGGGGACAGAGCAGAAGCUUUGUCCUCAGGGACCCUGGGGUCCUGGCUGCCCAUGGAGACCUGGGGCAGCAGGCUGGCAAGAGAUCAGGAGGGCGAGGCCCUGGAGGAGACAGGGCUGUGGAUGACUGGGUGCUAAUGGCACACAAGAGGCAGAUGGGGCCCAGCCUGAUGCUUCCUGGACCCGCCCUACCCUGCCCGGGCACAGUCCAGGGCUUCCUGCCCUUCGAACCACACUUGUGAUCAGUAUUGACAGGGGUGGGAUAAUCAUUAACCACCACUACGGGUUGGGUCAACGGCUCAAAAGGCCCUGGGCCGAGGGCGUCCCCACUUCCUCCUUGUGCCCUGAGGGCCAGCUCAGCACCCAGGCCUGUCUCCCCAGGCAGAAGGACUCCAGCCCAGUGAUCCCCCAUCCCACUCCUACUGCAUCCCGAGAGGGAGGGCACCACUUGGGGGAGAUGUUGGAGCAGCACAGGCCCUGAGGCCCUGCUCUGUGACCUUGGGCGGCCCCCUUUGCCUCUCUGGGCCUGUAACCACCACUGGCAAAGGGGGGCAGGGCCCAAGUCUACUCUGAAAGCUCUCCUCUCUCUCCAGAAACUUUGGAGUCUCCCAAAACGCUGCUGAGUCUCUGCAGGACUGGCAUCGGUCACGGGAACUUGUCUGGGAGGGACGAGAACAUGCUUUGCAGAAGGAAGCUCUGCCUCCCAGAGUCCUGGGCUUGCUUGGGCACCCCAGUCAGCAGCUGCUUCCACUCCCCACAGUGGAGACAGACCCAAGGGUCCCAGGGCAGAUGCUUCCCCCAGUCCAGGCCAGCGUGCAGGGUGAGCUCGUAAGUCCUGAUUGACAUACGGUCAGUGGUUCAGAGAGGUUAUACUACUUGCUCAAGGUCACCCAGCUCCCAGGCCCCUGCUGUCUUCCCAGCCACUGAGUCCUAAGCGUCCUUCCAGGUGGGCCGCUGCUCACAGCCUGUUCUCACAUUCAGCAGCAGCCUCAUCUUCCUGGAGUACAGCCCUGUGGUUGGUGGAGCAACUUCUCCAGCCCCUGGGAUUCCUAAGAAGACCCAGGAACCCCGCUGCUGGUAGAGGGGGAGCAGCCAACCCAGGACAGGACAGCUGACCCCACCCCUGCCCCACCUCCCACACCAACAACCUCAUUCCCACCUGCUGCUGCUUUUUUUUUUUUUUUCUUUGAGACGGAGUCCCGGUCUGUUGCCCAGGCUGGAGUGUAAAGGCACGAUCU